ensembl:lincRNA
CUGAUGUCAGAUCUGGGAGGAAGCUCCAAGGUCAUUUGGGAGCGGAGGGCGCUGCAGCCCACAGAGGCAGCCUGACUUGGCUAGGACAGACAGGAAAUGUUUGUUUUCUCUCUACACCUCCUCACGAUGUCUUUCAGAGACCCAAGAGAGUUUGCUCCCUUACCCUCCGGAUUCAGAGAGGGUUACCCACCCUUGACUUACAGAGCUCAGAUUUGGGGUUCUGGAAGGGGGAUGUGCUGGGGUGUCCAUGCCAACAUCACACUUGCUAUCGGGAGCCCACAUGUUCAUGAGUGGGCCGCCUCCAGCUGGGGGUCGCACUGCCCACUGCUGAUGCCACGACUGCAAGGUCCAUCAUAGCUCUCACUUACCAUCCAUCUGAGAGGCAGGGGUUGCGGCUCGGUGCACCGUGGAUGCAGCCUGGACCUUGCAGGGAUGAGGACCUUAAUGCCAGGUAGGCAAGGCACUGCCUGCUCCCCUUUCCUCAGCUGGGCUCAGCAAUCUGGCCUCUCCUUAGCUCGGCCCAGGGACUCUGCCUGCCCACCUGCCUGCCAGAUGGAAUGCCUGCUUCUAGCCAGCCCAGAUGCACCUUCCCUGCUGCCCUUCCCCUCCCUGGUGCUGCAGAAGACCUGGCCAGUCCAUCUGGAAAGGUCCAGCCUUUUGAGGAGGCAUAAGGAGGCACACAAAUGUAUGAGGAGGACACGGAGGCUCCAAGACGUCCAAAGCAUGUACACACUCAUGCAGCUGAUGCAGAGAGAGACUCCAGCCAUAGGUGGAAGAGGCUUGUGAGCCCUGAGUCACCACUGCUCAGGGACUCAAAGCAGGUAAGGGGGCUCCAAGGAGGAGAUGAGGUUUGCAGGGUUUCCUGGGGGAUUAUCAGGAGCAAUGAUCUCUCCGCAGAGACAUGGGUUUGUCUGCUGAGACUUGCUCCCAGCGGCUUCUGGGCUUCCUGGCCAGAUAAUCGCAAACAAAAUAGACCAGGGCCUGGGCAGCAGCCUACAACCCCUUUCCACAUAGGAGCCCAGGACGGGGCACGCAGGAGUAGGCCCCCAGGGCCCUGAGUCAUAGGGAGAAUCACCACAUUCAGAACAGCUCCGAUUCAGGCCUUAGAACUUUCCUGGGUGAUGGUGGAUGAGGCCCUGCCUCUCUCUAGCAGCAGGCUUCCCAUCCACAGACUGACAACCCACUGGGCCCCCGCAUUGUAUCUGGCCGGCACUAGGGAGAAGGAGCCCCAGACACUGCCUUCUGCCUACGCCAUACCCUGGGCACUGACCGAUACACUAGCUCGAUGGGCAGGGAGGGAGAUCAGCGGGUCUUUCUGAGAAGAAGAUGAGGGGAUCUUUCUCUGCCUGGGCUGGAGCAACUCUGACCACCUGGAGGGGACCGGAAGGUGGCGAAAAGGAGCCUUAGCCCGAGGAGCUGCAGGACUGGCUGGGGACGUCUGGGACUCUGAUGCCUGCCUGAGUUUUCUGGAGGAAAUACGUGAGCAUGUGUGUUCAUACUAUGCUCUAGUGUCUCUGCGUGUGCAAAUAUGUGUGGGUCACAUGUCUGUGUGCACAUGCGAAUCUCUACAGUCGCCAGCCCGUGUGUUUUUCCCACUCUGUCUAAUGACAUCUCGUAUAAGCCUGUGCACAUGUAUAACCUUGUGCGUGUUUGGUGCUUCUAGGUCCACAUGGGAAUGCAAGGGAUGCCCGAGUUAUACUCGUCUAUUCACGUCACAGCUAUUGAUAGAGGGUCUACUUUGUGCCCCGUGCUGUCCUCUGGGCUGUGGAUACAGAGAUGAGUAAGAAAUUCAAAGUCUCUUCAUGGGAUUCACACCGUGUAGGAGACAGAGAGCAAAUGGGCGCCUAAAUAAAUGAAAACGAUCAGACAACGAUCACUGCCAUGAAGUUGAAAAAAAUAAAGCCUGAUCAUUACAAAGACAGUGACUUGGGAAGAAUUGCUUUAUAUAAAGAGGUCAGGGAAGGCUACUUAGGAGUGCAG